rfam:Gossypium raimondii scaffold_454_contig_4, whole genome shotgun sequence.
GGGUGCGCUCAUACCAGCACUAAUGCACCGGAUCCCAUCAGAACUCCGCAGUUAAGCGUGCUUGGGCGAGAGUAACACUAGGAUGGGUGACCUCCUGGGAAGUCCUCGAGUUGCACUCC